rnacentral:lncRNA from 1 species
UCAGCUUACGUCUUGUAACAGUUUAUCAAGAAUUGGCAGAGCUGGGGACUCAAUGAAGUCGAUUUUGUUUUCGACGCCAGCUUUUUUGAUACUUGGCAACCCCAUUUCGUAUGCUUUUCGGUCGAUGUCUACGGCCGUAAUCUGCAAGGCAUAAUGUUUGUUGUAGGUAAACAUAUAUCAGCUGAAUUGGAGAGAGGUAUGUCAUCAGGAGUUGGGAGAGCCGUGAGGAGAAGAGAGUAGCCGGUAAAAAUUCCGAUUUCAAUUGCCGUUUUCGGAUUCACCAGCUUCAAGAGAAGGGCCAUGAACUGACCUGAAUCAGUGAAGUGCUCAUGAAAGCCCUGCACAGUAAAACUGUUAAACCCUAUAUUGAUCUGGGUGAAGCAUAAGAAGGUUCCACAGAAGACUUGCUAACAUUUUGUAAUUGAAGAAACUACCACAAGACAUGCUAACAAGUUGGCUUUCUAACCAAAAUGGCUUAUUUCAAAUAGUUCAGGUUAAUUUACCAAAAAAUAGUUUAAAAGGUCAAUUUCAACUUGAGUAAUAGUUCAAAAUGUCAAACAGCAGUUUAUCCUUAUAAAUAUAAAAACACUCAUCAAGUUUAUUAAUUCAAUUUUGCAAUUCCAUUCACUGCAUAGUCUAUCAAAUAGAAAGGGAGCAUUAGUUGGGAACUGGAUCCCCUUCGGAUCCAUAUAUACUGAGCCUGCUGAGCAGGCGAUCCGGAUCGUUGAAAUUUGAUUAAACGGCUAAAAUUAUUAUCACUUUUAGAGGGUCCUCUGUUUGUAACUGUUAGAUCAAAUUUCAACGGCCCGGAUCGCCUGCUCAGUAGGCUCAGUUUUAUUGGAUCCGAAGGGAAUCCGAUUCCUAGAAUUUCAUCAUCGCAUUCUGUGAGGGAGUUUCCUGCAUAAUUUGGAUAGGGAAAUUUAGAAAAAUAACUAAAAUUUAUGCCUCAUAUAGAAUUAUAGUCAUCCUUUCAAAUUUUUGAUAAUUAUAACAAAAAAAUUGAUAUAAAAGUACUAAUAUACCCCCGCUAACAAAAAACUUCACUUUUUUUCUUUUUAGUACAUCGAUAUAUUUGUUCUCCAUUUAUUCUUAACCGUGAAAAAAAUUAAGUGCAUAAUCUUGUUUAUUAACAACACUUAGACAAAGCAGAGAUCACUCAACAAUAAAUUAUUUCAUUGAAACUAUUUUGAGUUCUUAAAACAUAAAUAUCAAAUCUCCAAUUGUCAAGGGAGAUUGCCAAGUCCCCGAGCUUUAGACAUGUAAGGCUACAUCUUUCAAGAAAGAAUCAGUAAAGUCGACGACAAAUUGUGAUCCCAUCACCCAAAGAAGCAUGUGAAAUCUGGACACGAGGAUCGGCUGCAAGUAACUUGUUAAGCUCGAUUGUCGCCUGUUUGCCUGGUUUCCUGAACUCCGGAAUCAACUCAUCAGGCAUUACAACCGUUCCUCCCCAGAGGGUGUUAUCAUAGACAACUAUACCACCCACCUUCAACAGCUUCAUUAACCUCUCAUGGUAGUUCCAGUAGUUGACCUUGUCGGCAUCGAUGAAAGCAAAGUCGAAACUUCCUUCGUUUUCAUGCUGCAAACAAAACCACGAGAAAGCGAAAAAUGUCACAACUAUGGUUUUUCUUAUUUCGGCUGAAGAUUAUGGUUUGAAACGUAAAAUACUUGCAUUUUCUAGUAGCUUAUCAAGAACCGGUAGGGCCUGGGAUUCAAUGAAGUCGAUUUUGUGCUCAACACCGGCUUUCUUUAUGAUUGGAAGCCCUAUUUGCUCAUACGUCUCACGAUUCACAUCUAUGGCUACAAUCUGCAGUACAACAAAUUAUGAGCUCAACGCGACCGGAAGAGCAGAUUCAGAUAUUAGUAGUGACAGACCUUGCCAUCGUCAGGAAUUGUAAGAGCAGUGAGGAGGAGAGAGUAUCCGGUGAAAACGCCAACUUCAAUAGUUUUCUUUGCAUCUACUAGCUUCAACAGCAUGGCCAUUAACUGACCUGCAUCUGGUGCAGUAGCCAUCUCAGCCCUGAAAACAAACUAGCUAAUUAAAAACCCUCCUCGACAGUUUGAUCAAGAAAUGCUCGACAGUUUUCGCUCGCUUAGACGAAGUGUAUGCCAAGUUCUAGCCUGGCUUGGUAGCUUAAUGAACUUAAAAAGCAGGCAAUCUUAAAACAAGUUCUGCUAAGAUAUGUAGGAUCAUAACCUCGGGUGGCUGGCGGUGGCAGCUCUAAGCUCCUUGAGAGGCUCCGGUUCAUGUGGAUACACACUAGUCUCCAAGAUAUACUGUCACAUCGACAUUGUUAAAAAACAAGAUUUAACAAAUUUAAUCAGAAACAGGCAAAGCGAAAGUUGAGGGAACGGCGUUGUAACCUGAUAUAACUCGUCACUCUGCAGCAGUCCCUUCUUCUCUAGAUUCAGGUCCUUUUUGGCGCUGUGCUCCAUUUGCAAAGAGAAAGCAACUAGUCCAAGCAAUUCUACAAAUCCAACAGUUACGGACAGAUUAAUCGAAACUCGAUGGACAUGUUGUACAAUGGCAGAGAGGGUACCACUGCAAAACUGAACUUCAAUGGCACCAAAAAUCCCCAAGUUCUGAACUUUUGAGUAACAAAUUCCCACAUUUUGAUCCUUUUAAAUUAAGGGAAAUUAAUAAAAAUGGUUUGAAAACUUUGAGUUUUAACUAUAACGACAAAAUAAAAGGUAAAGUGAAAAGUAGCAGGAUUGACUUUUUAGUGUAAAAAUGUGAUUUUUCGUUAAAGUGAAUACUGCUGGAUGUUUUUUUUUUUAAAUUAACAGUGAAGGCUCAACAGUCUAUAAAAUUUCUCUAAAAUUUUUUCUAUGAAGAUAAAAUAAAAUCAGACAACAUAACAUAACCCAUCAACCCAAUUCCACAAAUUGAUAAAACCAAUAGUGGGGAAAGGGAUUUGAACCCGGAAUCUCGGACAAAUGGUCUUAACCAACCAAACUACAAGCCCGUUUACUCGCACCAACUUUGAUCAAGCAAGAUAACCCACAUCCCCAUUUCUCAGCUACUAAACUUCCCACGAUUCCAAUUAGAUAUCUUAGGCUACAAGUUUUCUGGGUUUUUUAUACAGAGAAUACCAGUGAAGAAAGAGAGAAUUACCCGAUGAUCCAAGGUGAAGGCCGAGUCUUCCGUCUUUGGACUUUGAAUUUGCAGCAGCGAUGGUGAACCGAAUCAACACCUCUCUAAAUAAAUAUGUUUUUGAUGAGUUGGGGAUUUCUCCCGUGGCACCCGACCCACCCACCAAGCUGCUGACAUAUAUUCCACCAACCGCUGUUGAGGAAAGUUGUACUGCCUUUGUCUUUGGCAUGAGCUUUGGGAAAUGUACAUUUCAGCAAGGCUGUGACAAAUGAAAGUUGAGAUGAACACGCUACUAGCUCGACAUUAAUUAUUUGUUAAAAGGACGAAUUUUGUAUCAGUAAUAUUGAUAUUCGUAUGAGCUAAGCGUUGAUGCAUCUUUUUCAUUAAAAUAUUAUGCAGCAAUAGCGUGCAACAACAUAUAAAUAUUUUGUCUUUAAAAAAUGAAAAACGAAGAGAUGAACUGCGGAAUUUGAAACAAUAGACAUAAAAUAAGGACCACGCACUUGUUCUACAUUGAGUUUCAAUCCAAAACAAUUUAGCUGACAUUUCAAAUGGCUUUGAAUACCUUUUUUUUCUUUUUUUCUUAUAAAGGUGAAUCUGCACUGAUUUUUUAUUAUUAUAAAAAAUAGACCAGUUGGUGGCUUCGUCACUGCAAUCUACCAUUUUCAGGAGUUGAGAAGACUUACUGAGGUAUCUCAAUCUCCCUGAUCAUCAUUGUGUGAGUCAUCAGCACUAAAAAUCUAAUUAUAAAACCGCGAAUACAAUUCAGAAGAGAAACAUACAUAUAUGACCCACAACCACAAAGGGCCAAUACAAAUCUACUCAAACAAACAUAAAAUAUACAAGACGAAUCACAAAAUAAACCAAGCAUCACCAAAAGCAAAGGAAAUUUUAGGCUUUGCUCUUUUUUAUUUCACAUGUAGUUUGGUCCGAAGUAGCAAUAAUACACCCUUAUUUUCCAUAUAUUUUUAGGUAUUAUUAUUCUUAUUCAUGACUUCUCUUGAUAAAUGUGCCUUCUGAUUAAUAUAAUACUAAAUAUUUGACAACAUAAUUUUGUAAAUAUGGAACCCUAGUUAUGCAUAAUGCUUGCUUAUCAAGUAUAUUGUUCUACUGGAUCAGCAAACGCGCCAGCAGAUUGUGAUCCCGUCGCCCAAUGGAACCUGGGAAAUUUCGACGCGAGCGUCAGCGGAAACCAAUUCAUUAAACUCAAUUGCACACCGCCGCCACUCCCUUUUGGCCUCCGGAGCAUCCUCUUCCGGCCAAGCAACUGUUCCUCCCCAGAGUGUGUUAUCAUACAUUACCAUCCCGCCAACCUUAAUCAGUUUCAUUAGCCUUUCGUGGUAGUUCCAGUAGUUGUUCUUGUCCGCGUCAACGAAAGCAAAGUCGAAACUCCCUUCCUUCUCUGGCUGCAGAAAAACAUGCAUGAAGCAGUACCAAUCUUCAAGUACAAGAAACUGAAAGGAUAGAGUCAAAAACAAAGUUCAGGGAAGUGAUUUUCGCACGUCUUUUCUCCUCUGCACACUCUUGUUAUACAGAAGGAGAAAAUGGGUAGGCGGUUAUCACUUUCCGAAGUCUUAGAGUACUGAGUUUCUCGGCUUACGUCUUCUAAGAGUUUAUCAAGAAUUGGCAUAGCUGGGGACUCAAUGAAGUCGAUUUUGUUUUCGACGCCAGCUUUUUAUACUUGGCAACCCCAUUUCGUAUGCUUUUCGGUCGGUGUCUAUGGCCGUAAUCUGCAAGGCAUAACGUUUGCGGUAGGUAAACAUAUAUCAGCUGAAUUGGAGAGAGGUAUGUACCAAGUACCAACCUUGCCAUCAUCAGGAAUUGUGAGAGCC